UACGUAGGGGGCGAGCGUUGUCCGGAAUUACUGGGCGUAAAGCGCGUGUAGGCUGCUUGGAAAGUCGGGUGUGAAAGCCCUGAGCUCAACUCAGGAAGUGCACUCGAAACUUCCGAGCUCGAGUCCUGGAGAGGGUGGCGGAAUUCUCGGUGUAGAGGUGAAAUUCGUAGAUAUCGAGAGGAACACCGGUGGCGAAGGCGGCUACCUGGACAGUGACUGACGCUGAGACGCGAAAGCGUGGGGAGCAAACAGG
rnacentral:rRNA from 1 species